UAGCAACUCAGGAUUGGCCGGACUGU
rnacentral:piRNA from 1 species